rnacentral:rRNA from 1 species
AUGGCAUGCUACCCUUGCAACCCGCUCCCCCACCUUCCACCUGGUACGACGAUCAUCCCCGGUCCUCUCCGUGCUCGCCGUGGAUAUGUGGUUCUUGGAGGUGACCUACCGAUGGUCUGCGAUGAGUGGGAAAUCGCCACGCUCGUACCCGAGGUAUCAGCUGAGGAGUUUCAUGGUGCCAUUGCUCUGAUCACGAACUACCUGGAGGGACGUGGAUGGCGCAUCAACUACACUUCCCGCUGUGGUAUGGGUACUGCUUUGGUUCAGUUUACUACUGCCUGUUCGCGUGAUACUGCUGUCAGUCUAAGCCCGUUGCAGAUUGGGGACUCUGUUCUUAGGAUUAGCAAGCAGGAUAGAGGUCUUAAUUACCGCAGCAUUACUUUCACACAUGAUGUAUGGAUCCUACUUAUGAAUUAUCCAUUAGAAUGCUGGGAUGUUGGGGUGAUUAGUCGCACUGUGUCACCAUAUGGUCGCUUUUUGAUCUGGAACAAGGAUCCAAGGGACAAAGCAAGGGUUAUUGUUAAACUCAGGGUCAUGAAUGUUGACAAUAUUCCUAUCAGUCUAGUUGUUCUGAGGAACCUUGAUGAUGUUGGAUAUGGUGACUCAUGGACUUGCCCAACAUAUAUACUGUCGAGGGAUCUGAUUGGUCAGCAAGGGGGUGAUGAGAACCCAUUGCCACCUGAUGGUGGAAACCCUCAUCCCCUCCCUCAUGUUCAUGGAGGUUUCUGG